AUGGGAAUUUGGUAGUGGUCUGUAUUUGAUGGAUUCCUGUUUCUAUAUUUGCAUUUUUUGGGAUGAUUUUGGAAGUUACCCAGCUCAUACUGAAAUAUGUAACUGUUGAGAAUGCUUCCUUUAUUUUAUAUCUGAAAUUAUGCAGGUAAAUUUCUCUGCCUUCUUAACUCGUAAGAAAGUGAGAAAUAGAAACAU
rnacentral:snRNA from 1 species